CGGCUACUACUCUACGGAAGGCAGCAGGCGCGUAAUUACCCAAUCCUGACUUAGGGAGGUGGUGACAAGAUAUAACAACGCGGUUAUUAUCGCGAUUGUAGUGAGGGUAUUCUAUACAGAACCUAUAGUACGAUUAGAGGGCAAGUCUGGUGCCAGCAGCCGCGGUAAUUCCAGCUCUAAUAGCGUAUAUUAAAGUUGCUGCAGUUAAAAAGCUCGUAGUUGGAUUUCAAGGAUUGUGUACUCUUCUAGGGUUUGCUUUCUUUUUAGUCUUUGACUGUUACUGUGAGAAAAUUAGAGCGUUUAAAGCAGGCCAUUUGCAAGAAUACAUUAGCAUGGAAUAACGAAUGUAUCCUAGAUCCUGUUAAGCUAGAGAAACGAAGAACAGAGCGAGGGGGAAGAAAAAGCAGAGGUGAAUUCUUGGAUUUGUUACACACUAAUGUUCUGCUUAUUCUUUUUGCAGGAUGUUCAGUGAGUCAGGAACGAAAGAUAGGGGAUCACCGACAUCAGAUACUGUCGUAGUCCUAUCUAUAACUAUGCCGACUAGGAUCGAGUGAUAUUCCCAUUUCAGUACCUUAUGAGAAUCAAGGCUUGGGUUCGGGGGGAGUAUGUCCUAGAUCUGACCUAUGAAUGACUGAGUCACCACAGAGGAGCUGGG
rnacentral:rRNA from 1 species